rnacentral:rRNA from 1 species
GGAGGGUGCAAGCGUUGUUCGGAAUUAUUGGGCGUAAAGAGCGUGUAGGCGGUCCGGUAAGUCAGAUGUGAAAGCCCUGGGCUCAACCCAGGAAGUGCAUUUGAAACUACCAGACUUGAGUACGGGAGAGGAGGGGGAAUUCCCGGUGUAGAGGUGAAAUUCGUAGAUAUCGGGAGGAAUACCAGUGGCGAAGGCGCCCCUCUGGACCGAUACUGACGCUGAGACGCGAAAGCGUGGGGAGCAAACAGGAUUAGAUACCCUGGGUAGUCCACGCCGUAAACGAUGAGCACUAGGUGUAGCGGGUAUUGACCCCCCUGCUGUGCCGUAGCUAACGCAUUAAGUGCUCCGCCUGGGGGACUACGGUCGCAAGACUA